rnacentral:rRNA from 1 species
GACGAACGCUGGCGGCGUGCCUAAUACAUGCAAGUAGAACGCUGAAGAGAGGAGCUUGCUCUUCUUGGAUGAGUUGCGAACGGGUGAGUAACGCGUAGGUAACCUGCCUGGUAGCGGGGGAUAACUAUUGGAAACGAUAGCUAAUACCGCAUAAAAUUGAUUAUUGCAUGAUAAUUAAUUGAAAGAUGCAAUUGCAUCACUACCAGAUGGACCUGCGUUGUAUUAGCUAGUUGGUGAGGUAACGGCUCACCAAGGCGACGAUACAUAGCCGACCUGAGAGGGUGAUCGGCCACACUGGGACUGAGACACGGCCCAGACUCCUACGAGAGGCAGCAGUAGGGAAUCUUCGGCAAUGGGGGGAACCCUGACCGAGCAACGCCGCGUGAGUGAAGAAGGUUUUCGGAUCGUAAAGCUCUGUUGUAAGAGAAGAACGGGUGUGAGAGUGGAAAGUUCACACUGUGACGGUAUCUUACCAGAAAGGGACGGCUAACUACGUGCCAGCAGCCGCGGUAAUACGUAGGUCCCGAGCGUUGUCCGGAUUUAUUGGGCGUAAAGCGAGCGCAGGCGGUUAGAUAAGUCUGAAGUUAAAGGCUGUGGCUUAACCAUAGUAUGCUUUGGAAACUGUUUAACUUGAGUGCAGAAGGGGAGAGUGGAAUUCCAUGUGUAGCGGUGAAAUGCGUAGAUAUAUGGAGGAACACCGGUGGCGAAAGCGGCUCUCUGGUCUGUAACUGACGCUGAGGCUCGAAAGCGUGGGGAGCAAACAGGAUUAGAUACCCUGGUAGUCCACGCCGUAAACGAUGAGUGCUAGGUGUUAGGCCCUUUCCGGGGCUUAGUGCCGCAGCUAACGCAUUAAGCACUCCGCCUGGGGAGUACGACCGCAAGGUUGAAACUCAAAGGAAUUGACGGGGGCCCGCACAAGCGGUGGAGCAAGUGGUUUAAUUCGAAGCAACGCGAAGAACCUUACCAGGUCUUGACAUCCCUCUGACCGCUCUAGAGAUAGAGUUUUCCUUCGGGACAGAGGUGACAGGUGGUGCAUGGUUGUCGUCAGCUCGUGUCGUGAGAUGUUGGGUUAAGUCCCGCAACGAGCGCAACCCCUAUUGUUAGUUGCCAUCAUUCAGUUGGGCACUCUAGCGAGACUGCCGGUAAUAAACCGGAGGAAGGUGGGGAUGACGUCAAAUCAUCAUGCCCCUUAUGACCUGGGCUACACACGUGCUACAAUGGCUGGUACAACGAGUCGCAAGCCGGUGACGGCAAGCUAAUCUCUGAAAGCCAGUCUCAGUUCGGAUUGUAGGCUGCAACUCGCCUACAUGAAGUCGGAAUCGCUAGUAAUCGCGGAUCAGCACGCCGCGGUGAAUACGUUCCCGGGCCU